ensembl:lncRNA
CAGAGGUAAGGGUGGUAGGUAGGGGGAAAAGCAGCCAAACCUACAGAGGAUUUGUUCAAAAAGAGAAGCAGAAAAAAAGAAAGAUGGAAAAUAGUUUUAGUCAGGGUUUUGAAAUGCAAACUUAACUUCUUAACAGAGAAAGAGAGUUGAUGUUUAAAGUUUUACAGUAAAAGCACACAGGCAAUAAUGUUUGAGUUUGAGUCUUAACUUUUUCUUAAUCUUACUUACGGUGCUGUGACUGACUGAAUCCUGCACAAAACAGUUUUGGAAACCACUGAUAUACAGUGUUUCAAUAGACUGAAUCCUACAUCUGUAGAGAUGGGUGGAAUGAAAGGAAAUAAGAUUAUUUUACAUCUUGUUUUACAGUUAUUUUGUCAUUUUUAAUUGAACCUUUAUUUAACCAGUUGUUGGUGUGGAAGAUUGAGGUUUGUGUCAGGAGUUAGAUGUGUGUUAAAACUCCAGUCCAGAAACCCAACUGCCUCAAACUACUGUGAGGGUUGAGUGUUUGACAGUUGGUCAUUAGUUAUACACAGUCGCUGACUGACUUUUUUCAAUCCUAAAUAGUGUGUGAUAUGAGAGGUAGUUUGACUGCAUUUCCCGUCCAUGGUAUACAAAGAUAUUGAAUGGUAAAUGGUUUAAAUGUAAACGUAGCACAAAUCUAGCAAAACAAGAAGACAGAAAUAUACACAACCUGUUUUCUCUAUCAUUCCAUCUGUAGAUUGUUGAUUCAACUGUGAUCCAUUUGAAUGGUUUGUUUCAUAUGUUUGUAGGGGUUUUGUAUGAGAACCAUGGAUAUGCUGUAUUCUACUGUAAUAUCCUAGUGUAUGUUGGGGAACAUUUAUCCCACAAUCACAAAAGACACACACUUUUGUGCCCAAACUUUAAGAUGAGGGCUUGUUCUUGAGUAUUUGGAGCGUAGAAUUAGAAUUUAGAAUACUGGAAUGGACAUGAACCUUCUUAUGAUGGGAUGAAGGUCAGCCAUUUUGAUCAGGGAGUUGGUCAACCAUGGUUUGCCGGUGCUGUGAUAAGAUAUUUGGUAAAAUAAUGAAUAUGAAGAAUUUUAGAGGAAUGAUUCCAUAAUUUCAAAUUAACUACCAAUAUCCCAACAUUCCAUUCAAACAAUGCAGUCAAUCCACAGCCAUACACUUUCUGGAAUCAGUUGAUGAUAGGACUUAGACAAGUUGUAAAUGCAACAAGUACUGAUAUUGUAUUACAUAAUAGCACUCUCAGCUUUACAAGAGAACCAAAAAUAAGACAUUUAUAGUCUGUUUACAUAUAUUUUAGAGGCUAUGUAUUCUGAAAAUUUGGUAUAAAACCUGUAUAAACUGUAUUUAUUUCUCCCUGACCAAUAAUGGCUACCAUUUUCACCCCAUUCUGGAACUUCAAGGUUUUAUGACAUAGCCCCUCUAGUAAUGUAAUAGGAUCUCUAGCCCCUCUAGUAAUUUAAUAGGAACUCUAGCCCCUCUAGUAAUUUAAUAGGAUCUCUAGCCCCUCUAGUAAUUUAAUAGGAUCUCUAGUCCCUCUAGUAAUGUAAUAGGAUCUCUAGCCCCUCUAGUAAUUUAAUAGGAGCUCUAGCCCUCUAGUAAUUUAAUAGGAGCUCUAGCCCCUCUAGUAAUUUAAUAGGAGCUCUAGCCCUCUAGUAAUUUAAUAGGAGCUCUAGCCCUCUAGUAAUUUAAUAGGAGCUCUAGCCCCUCUAGUAAUUUAAUAGGAUCUCUAGCCCCUCUAGUAAUUUAAUAGGAUCUCUAGUCCCUCUAGUAAUGUAAUAGGAUCUCUAGCCCCUCUAGUAAUUUAAUAGGAUCUCUAAUCCCUCUAGUAAUUUAAUAGUAUCUCUAGCCCCUCUAGUAAUUUAAUAGGAUCUAUAGGAUUUGGACUUUCUGUUGCAGAUUGUGUAACUGCAUUGGCUGUGUCCCUUUAGGAGUAUGAUGGAGUUGCGUUUUGAGAAGGGGCAACUGAUCAUAGAUCUGUGGGUAAGAGCACCUUCUACCUGGCCCGUCCCCUUCUGUUUUGUUACUAUGUACCUCUACUGCCACCUGCUGUUGAAUGUGGUCGUGUACACAUUAAAUACUGCUGAAUAUGUUUGUGUUCUUCACUUGAACAAACCCCUCAUCUUUGUCAUUUAGGCUUUCAUGGCAUAUUGUUCAUUGAUAAGUUACAAAAAAACUGUUAUGGAUAUUUUCCAUUGUCCUACUGGACACUGGACCCCAUAGAAAGGUCCAGGUUACUGCCCUGCAUGUAUGUACGUGUAUAUGACUAUACUUCUUUAUCUCCACGUUAUCCAUGCAGUCUUAUACUUAACAUCGUUCAGAAGAACUAAUGUAUUCCUUUAUUUCUGUAGCCUCUAAGCUCAAUUGUUUUUAUUUUUUGUAUAAUUUGUCUUAUCUGCUGAGACAUGAAUGCAAUGAUUUAACCUUUUUUUUAAUCAAAGCUUGUUUUCUACCUAAUCAAAAGAGCCUUGAACACAGAACAUAGGAGGAUUUGAAUUUGGUUUGAUCUCGUUUCCAGCAGCAUCUGAUCAACAUGCUCUUAUCCCGUGUGGUAUUGUGGGUUUGGAAGACAGGCUGCUCAUUUGAUAUUGAAAUCACAGCUCUUUCUCGCAACAGAUAUGGGCUUGAUAGGAAUUCUAUUGCAGAACGGUGGUGCAACAAUGAUAAUAGUAAACCAUGGACUGUCUCAAAUGAUAUCCUAAAGUAGUGCACUAUAUAGGUAAUAGGAUAUCAUUAUUUCAGGAGAGGGCAAUAUUAAAGAACAUUCAUAUAGAGAUGUUUUGUGCAGAAUAGCCAUUCUGUCAUAGAUAUUACCAGCUCUAUACAUUACAUUUCCUUCUGUAAUAUUGUAUGUUGGACUCCAGUGAGUAAACCCCAAGUUUUAUCAAUACAAGCCAGGCUUGUCUGUCAGUACUGAUGAACAUACUGUAGGAUCAGCUACAAUUUAAUAACUGUAGCCAGGAUCAUUAUCAGAAAUGAUCACACACUGCACCUCAUCUCCUCGCUUGAAGACAACUAAAGUCAUUUGAUUUAUGGGAACAGUUCUUCCUUUUAAUGCAAUGCAGCCUCUCCAACAGGGAAUGGAAGAGUCAUACCUGGCAUUCGAGUUGGUUGGGGCCUAUUGUGGUGGUGUAAUGGAUACCACUGAAAAAGAGUCCACCUCUUUGUAGAUAAUUCUGUGUCUUUGUAUAGGAAAGUGGGGGAAAAGCUUUUUGUAUUUCUCUUCAUUUUGUGUCCUCUGUAGUCCCCAUCACAUGUGACUCAAUUAUGUUAUCCUAUUUGUCCAAACGUGUAAAUAGAAGUUUUGUUAAUAAAAACAAUGUGUACUUUUAAA